rnacentral:rRNA from 1 species
CCUACGGGAGACAGCAGUGAGGAAUAUUGGUCAAUGGGCGGAAGCCUGAACCAGCCAAGUAGCGUGAAGGAUGACGGCCCUAUGGGUUGUAAACUGCUUUUAUACGGGAAUAACGCGCAGUACGUGUAGGGCUUUGCAUGUACCGUAUGAAUAAGGAUCGGCUAACUCCGUGCCAGCAGCCGCGGUAAUACGGAGGAUCCGGGCGUUAUCCGGAUUUAUUGGGUUUAAAGGGAGCGUAGGCGGCUUGUCAAGUCAGGUGUGAAAUGUUGCGGCUCAACCGUAGACUUGCAGUUGAAACUGGCAUGCUUGAGUACACUUGAGGCAGGCGGAAUUCGUGGUGUAGCGGUGAAAUGCUUAGAUAUCACGAAGAACCCCGAUUGCGAAGGCAGCUUGCUGCACCGUAACUGACGCUGAUGCUCGAAAGUGCGGGUAUCAAACAGGAUUAGAUACCCGAGUAGUC